CACGCAGUAAACGAUGAUUACUUGCUGUUUGCGAUACACAGUAAGCGGCGAAGCGAAAGCGUUAAGUAAUCCACCUGGGGAGUACGUUCGCAAGAAUGAAACUCAAAGGAAUUGACGGGGGCCCGCACAAGCGGAGGAACAUGUGGUUUAAUUCGAUGAUACGCGAGGAACCUUACCCGGGCUUGAAAUGCAUCUGACCGGCAAAGAGAUUUGCUUUUUCCUCGGAACGGAUGCGUAGGUGC
rnacentral:rRNA from 1 species